rnacentral:rRNA from 1 species
CUACGGGAGGCAGCAGUGAGGAAUAUUGCUCAAUGGGGGAAACCCUGAAGCAGCAACGCCGCGUGAAGGACGAAGUAUUUCGGUAUGUAAACUUCGAAAGAAUAGGAAGAAUAAAUGACGGUACUAUUUAAAGCUCCGGCUAACUACGUGCCAGCAGCCGCGGUAAUACGUAGGGAGCAAGCGUUGUUCGGAUUUACUGGGCGUAAAGGGCGCGUAGGCGGCGCGGUAAGUCACUUGUGAAAUCUCUGAGCUUAACUCAGAACGGCCAAGUGAUACUGCAGUGCUAGAGUGCAGAAAGGGCAAUCGGAAUUCUUGGUGUAGCGGUGAAAUGCGUAGAUAUCAAGAGGAACACCUGAGGCGAAGGCGGGUUGCUAGGCUGACACUGACGCUGAGGCGCGAAAGCCAGGGGAGCAAACGGGAUUAGAAACCCCAGUAGUCC